GGGAGGCUUUGUAUUUUUAUCGAGUUCAGAUUUUGUUUAUUAGUUUCAUUUUCCACUUCCUCCCUCCGCUUCGGGCAGCAUCCUGGUCCAACGCUAUUUCUGCCUUCCCAGAUGCAGCAAGGACUGGGGCAAAGGCGAAGGGUUUUGCAGACCUCUGUUAGAUGCUUUAUCAUCGGACCCAUCAGAAAUACAUAAAAAAGAAAAAGGAAAGAUUGUAUUACACCUCCACACUGUUUCCCUUAUUUAUCUGUGCAGAAAUUUAGUAACCUCAUUUUUAUUAUGUAGACAUGGGGCUCUUCCAAUGCAGAGUGAGUGCCAUCAUUAUUCAGAGGAUUGAUAAUCGAUUUUGAGGACAAAGCCCAGAGCAGAUCGCAAUUCUUCUCAUAUGGCGUCGUAACUCCCUCAGGCAUUCCCCAAACGUGUUUUUACCCCGAGACUAAAACCAGCCUCCAAGAGAUAGCCGGUUCACUCGUCUCCAGAACGGCCCUCACCCCCGUUUUGAAAGCAGGCACGUCUCCCCAUCCCUUAUCUCCGGGUAUCUCCCUCGUUCUCAAGAUCCCGCUAAGGUUUUCUCCGAGAGUCUCACAAACUCAUUUCCAAGACCCUUUAGAUCAUCUGAGUCAGACAGCUCAUACUGUCUUGCGGAAAGCAGGUGUUCUCAUAUUAUUUUCUGAUGAUUUGGGAUUUCAGCACCCACAAGUUUUCUCUGUCCUUUCUGUUUGAACGCCAUUUGCAUAUAAAGGAAGUGAAAAAUAAAGUAUAAACUGAGUCA